ncrna:unclassified sequences narK RNA
GGCCCGCCUCUUGCUUUAGCACCCUCAGGUAGCCAAAGGCGGUUGCCACCACUCACGACAAAGACGUCGC